GUGGAACCUCAUCCUUCAAGCUUCAAUUUGGUACGGCAAGAGUUACUCUUUUUAUUAACGCCGUUAAGACUCCGUUGGGAGCAGUUUGCAUUGGUUUAACAGCUGUCAAAAUUUCUGUGUCAAGGAAUUAUUGGAUUGGACCACAGAAGAUGUGAUAGUCCAGGAGCAGGGGAAUAGUUUCUCUAUUGAAGCGGGAAGACCGAAAGAUCAUAAAAUGAACAAACGGCAUACAUAUAACAUAAAAAUCACCUCCUUCAGCAAGCGUGAUCUCGCUCUCUCUUCCUUUUUCACCUAUGGCUCGAAACAAGGAAGCGUUGCUUUUGCUGCUUGAUGUGGGCCCAUCCAUGCAUUCUGUUCUUCAUGUAAUUGAGAGAGUCUGCUCCAUGUUUGUACAAAAGAAGGAACAAACCAGCAACAAUACAGACAGCAAGCAGGCACAAGUGACAUUAUGCAGCAAGCAGACAGGGUGCUUGACACGAAUCAGAGGCCUAAAAGGAAAACCACUAAGCCUCAGCACCUCAAGGAUUUUGUAUAAACAAUCCUUGCAAAGCGUGCUGAGCUGGCAAGACCUUAUUGGCCACAGAAACAUAGACUGUCUGCCAUUUAUCUUUUUUCUGUUAUGGUUUAUUCCUUUUCUGUUGUUGAAGAUUCCACUAAGGCCGGUAGUGCCAUUCUUGUUAGAAAUCUGUUAGAACCUUUUGUCUCUGUAAGUAGCUGCAGUGCCUAUAAGAAUGAAUGAUGUAUCGUGAUGAAGCAAGCAGAAAAUAAAACUUCCCUUUCUUACCUUCUUCUCUGGAGGUUCCUAGACCUCGAAUGCUAGGAAUUACUAAAUUGUUCUUGUUUUUAUCCCUGAUCAUAUCACCUUGACUUUGAUGUUAGUUCUUGAUGUUGUCAUUGUUGGCGUGGAUAUGUUAAUAAAAAAAUUUGGAAUGACAAACAAGGGAAAGAAACGUCUCUGUCUUAUUACAAAUGCCCUAUGUCCAUCAAAAGAAUCUGAUGAAGGAACAAAGGAAGAGCAAGUUACCACCAUUGCCAAACAAAUGACUGCCCAUGGUAUGAAAAUGGAAAGUAUAAUUCUGAGAGGAAAGUUCAGUAUGGCUGCCUAUUGGUAUGAAAAUGAACGCUUGUUAGAUAUUUUUUCAAAGGAAACAUCAACAAGAUUGUCGUGUGUGGAGAAUCCAGUUUCUUUGUUUGGUGCUCUUAAAACAAGAAAUAUAACUCCAGCUGCAGUUUUCAAAGGGGAUCUUGAAUUCAGUCCAAAACUGAGGAUUAAGGU